UGAUGGACCUGAAACAACAGCAGGUGCUGGAGUAAAAUUUGAAGGAGGACUCUGGAGAGAAGUCAAUAUCUAUCAAAGACUGCAAAUACCUAACAGAAGAUAAAACUCUUUUAAACCCCAAUCAGGCAGACAGAAAGGAAACAUAACUUAGAGCAGACAUACUCCAAGGAAGAAACAAAGGCUCAGCCGCUGUUCAAGACAGGAAAUGCCUCACUUACUGAAGCAGAGAAACUGCCGCAUCAAUGUAUUGGUUCAAAGGAUGUUGGAUGGUGGUGAGGAAGGGAUGAGAAAGCAUGAAGAUUUUGAAACAUUCAAAACAGUUGUGUGAUACAGAAGAAAUUGGGAGCUGCUGUGCUAGAUUAUGAGUGUAGUGUGAAUAGAUCACUUAUGAUCAGAAGGAGCAAAAAAGAGGACACUGAUUUGCAUUAAAUGGUUCUUUAAUUUCUACACAUACAUGCAAAAUUAGACAUCAUUUUUGUUGAUGAAUCAAAAUUACAGUUCAUCUCAUUCGAGUGGAGAAAUGACGUGUGUUCUUGCUGAGUCUUUUGUCCAGGUGCCAAGGGUGGAUGGGUAUCAUCAAUGUCCUUGACCUCCCUCUUUAUGCUUCGUUACCCUUAAACAAGACUUUG
rnacentral:lncRNA from 1 species